rnacentral:rRNA from 1 species
UCUUCCCUCUUUCUUCGUGCUUAACACAUGCAAGUCGAACGGAAAGGCUCCUGCUUGCAGGGGUACUCGAGUGGCGAACGGGUGAGUAACACGUGGGUGAUCUGCCCUGCACUUUGGGAUAAGCCUGGGAAACUGGGUCUAAUACCGGAUAGGACGAUGGUUUGGAUGCCAUUGUGGAAAGUUUUUCGGUGUGGGAUGAGCUCGCGGCCUAUCAGCUUGUUGGUGGGGUAAUGGCCUACCAAGGCGUCGACGGGUAGCCGGCCUGAGAGGGUGUACGGCCACAUUGGGACUGAGAUACGGCCCAGACUCCUACGGGAGGCAGCAGUGGGGAAUAUUGCACAAUGGGCGCAAGCCUGAUGCAGCGACGCCGCGUGGGGGAUGACGGCCUUCGGGUUGUAAACUCCUUUCGCUAGGGACGAAGCGCAAGUGACGGUACCUGGAGAAGAAGCACCGGCUAACUACGUG